AUUGAACGCUGGCGGCAGGCUUAACACAUGCAAGUCGAGCGGAGCGAGGGUGCUUGCACCUUAGCUUAGCGGCGGACGGGUGAGUAAUGCUUAGGAAUCUGCCUAUUAGUGGGGGACAACAUUCCGAAAGGAAUGCUAAUACCGCAUACGCCCUACGAGGGAAAGCAGGGGACCUUCGGACCUUGCGCUAAUAGAUGAGCCUACGUCGGAUUAGCUAGUUGGUGGGGUAAAGGCCUACCAAGGCGACGAUCUGUAGCGGGUCUGAGAGGAUGAUCCGCCACACUGGGACUGAGACACGGCCCAGACUCCUACGGGAGGCAGCAGUGGGGAAUAUUGGACAAUGGGCGGAAGCCUGAUCCAGCCAUGCCGCGUGUGUGAAGAAGGCCUUUUGGUUGUAAAGCACUUUAAGCGAGGAGGAGGCUACUUAGAUUAAUACUCUGGGAUAGUGGGCGUUACUCGCAGAAUAAGCACCGGCUAACUCUGUGCCAGCCGCCGCAGUAAUAC
rnacentral:rRNA from 1 species